AGGACGGGGAGCGUGACAAUAUA
rnacentral:miRNA from 15 species